CUAAAAGAGUGACAGCACCUCUCUCAAAAAAAAAGAGACAGCAGAAGGUAAAGCGAUAGAGAAGAAGGGGACGGGCUCCAAUCUGUCGGUCUGUACUGUGUGUGUGCAGUGAUGGGGCUAUGCCGCCGAUCCAGAUCGAGAAGAAGGUCGUGUAGGUAGGCUGCAGAGAAGAUGGUCCAUUCCGUUGGCAUGCGCGGUGAUGGGGCUCUGACACUGGUCAAGAUCCAUCACUUGGGCACUGAUCUUAUCAGUGAGUCUGGAUGAAGAGGAGCUGGUCAGCGGCAUGCAGUCGCAGGGGACGGAGAGCCACAUGGGGUGAAUUGAGCUGAUUUGCUUUCAACUGGUCUGUUCUGUUCAUACAAAAAGGAUCAACAUCGAGGGGCUGGAGGUAUCAGUGCAAUGCAAAAGGAUAUGGCAACUGUUAGGAACAUGAAAGAGAGACAAUCAGAAAGAAUUCAAUAGUUGGAAAAUGGUUGGACCAUGUUAUUGCAAGCUAUAGAAUUUAUGCAGGAAGCUGUCUAAGG